ACUCAAUAGAUACCCAGGUAGUCCACGCCCUAAACGAUGUCUACUAGUUGUCGGGUCUUAAUUGACUUGGUAAACGCAGCUAAACGCGUGAAGUAGACCGCCUGGGGAGUACGGUCGCAAGAUUAAAACUCAAAGGAAUUGACGGGGACCCGCACAGGCGGUGGAUGAUGUGGAUUAAAUUCGAUGCAACGCGAAAAACCUUACCUACCCUUGACAUGGAAGGAAUCCCUGAGAGAUCGGGGAGUGCUCGAAAGAGAACCUUUACACAGGUGCUGCAUGGCUGUCGUCAGCUCGUGUCGUGAGAUGUUGGGUUAGGUCCCGCAACGAGCGCAACCCUUGUCAUUAGUUGCUACGAAAGGGCACUCUAAUGAGACUGCCGGUGACAAACCGGAGGAAGGUGGGGAUGACGUCAAGUCCUCAUGGCCCUUAUGGGUAGGGCUUCACACGUCAUACAAUGGUACAUACAGAGGGCCGCAACCCGCGAGGGGGUAGCUAAUCCCAGAAAGUGUAUCGUAGUCCGGAUUGUAGUCUGCAACUCG
rnacentral:rRNA from 1 species